GUUUAAUAUUUUUGUGGAAACAGUAAUAAAUUUUUUGAUGAAUAGAAAGUUAAAUUACAUUUAUCUGAAAUAGUGAUCUUUUAUAUUUUAAAAGAUUAUACUGACCCCAAACGUUUGAAUGAUAGUGUAGAAUGCAUACAAACUAGUCUGUGCUAUUAUGUGCAUAUGGGCUUAAUGUGUGUGUAGUAUGUGUAAUGAGUGUGGUGUCUGUUAGGGGCAGCAUACAGACCCACUUCAAUCAGAGGAGGCCUGACACAAGGAUAUGGAACACUCGGCUAUGGAGGAGGUGCAAACCUUGGAACUGGCCUUGGGGCUGCCGGGCUGAGACUCGGCACAGGGUAUGGCCUAGGCAAUGGGCUGGGAGCAGCCUUAGGUUAUCCAGCAGGGAAGCUUGGAGGGAGAGGUGAGAGCUGCUCAUUUGCUUUGCAUUCAUAAGUACUCUUGCAACACUUAUUCACUGUGUGCUUUUGACAUAUUUUAGGUUACACCAGUAAUGGCUAUGGAGCACAGCUAGGUGAGUGUGUGUACUAUAAUGACCCAAAUCAAUAAACGUUAUAUGACACAUUCA
ensembl:lncRNA